GGAAAGACUUGAAGCUGCUACUGCUAGUGACAGAAAUGCUGGGAAUGAGGAAUUGAAUAAGGUUCGUGAGCUUAGUCAAAGCUAGAAAAUGUGAAAGCAGAACAAGCUUUAGAAAGAGAAAAGUCUCAGAAAGAGCUAAAGCAGCUAAAUGCAGAAAAUGCCAAGUUCCAAUAUCGUAUAACACAUCUUGUUUGAGCACUAAAGGAUGCUGAUUGUAUGUUACAAUCUAAGUG